UACGGGGGGAGCAAGCGUUGUUCGGAUUUACUGGGCGUAAAGGGCGCGUAGGCGGCGCAACAAGUCACUUGUGAAAUCUCCGGGCUUAACUCGGAGCGGCCAAGUGAUACUGUCGUGCUAGAGUGCGGAAGGGGCUACUGGAAUUCUCGGUGUAGCGGUGAAAUGCGUAGAUAUCGAGAGGAACACCUGCGGCGAAGGCGGGUAGCUGGGCCGACACUGACGCUGAGGCGCGAAAGCUAGGGAGCGAACGGG
rnacentral:rRNA from 1 species